UACGAAGGGGGCUAGCGUUGCUCGGAAUCACUGGGCGUAAAGCGCACGUAGGCGGCUUUGCAAGUUAGAGGUGAAAGCCCGGGGCUCAACUCCGGAAUUGCCUCUAAAACUGCAUCGCUAGAAUUGUGGAGAGGUAAGUGGAAUUCCGAGUGUAGAGGUGAAAUUCGUAGAUAUUCGGAAGAACACCAGUGGCGAAGGCGACUUACUGGACACAUAUUGACGCUGAGGUGCGAAAGCGUGGGGAGCAAACAGG
rnacentral:rRNA from 1 species